CCCUUAGAUGUUCUGGGCUGCACGCGCGCUACACUGACACUAUCAACGAGUGCUCCUGGUUUGAAAGGAUCGGGUAAUCUUUUGAAAUGGUGUCGUGAUGGGGAUAGAUCAUUGCAAUUAUUGAUCUUGAACGAGGAAUUCCUAGUAAAUGUGAGUCAUCAGCUCACGUUGAUUACGUCCCUGCCCUUUGUACACACCGCCCGUCGCUCCUACCGAUUGAGUGAACCGAUGAGUAGUCCGGAUUGCGAUCGACCUCGGUUAAUCGCGAGAAGUUCCGCAAAUCACUUCACUUAGAGGAAGGAGAAGUCGUAACG
rnacentral:rRNA from 1 species